rnacentral:lncRNA from 1 species
AUCAAUAUGUCCAAUGAUUUUUUUUUUUAGCUGUACGGUGCAGUCCGGUGUAUCCGCGCACCUAAGACUUAUGACUUCACUUCAUUCAGCUGAUAAAACCAAUAAUUGGAUAAUUUUGUGUGAACACAUUCAUAAUAUACUUUAAUUUCAUAAAAUCUUCUGUUUGUAUGGUUUCAUCCUCUGGAUUUUGUGUAAUGUGUGUCCAAAAUUAGGGAAGCCCCUGUUCUGAGAGUUCCUCCAAUGUCCGGUGAUUUCGCGCAUGCCUUCCAAAAAUAGCUUAUUUGGAAUAAAGGAAAGAUUUUAUAUUACGAAAUAUAGCUCAGUUUGUACCAAACACACUUCCAAG